rfam:Mesocricetus auratus contig197534, whole genome shotgun sequence.
GGAUCGAUGUUGAAAACAUGUCUCCGAGGAAGGUGAUUGACUUGUAACUAUGCCUAUCUGAGCUCA